GGCUGUAGAGCCCAGUGUGAUUGUGUUGACAUAAUGUAGGUUUUUCUAUUUGCAAACAAGGCAGGGGGCUCACCGAGGGCAGGACUUUGUUACAAGAAUGAUACCGCUUUGAACUGUUUUCCACAAUCAGAUUAGAGCUUGGCCAUGUGAUCUGCAUUUCUGGAUGCUACCUUGAACACCACUGAUGCAAGCCUUGCUCAGACAGAAGCCCUGCUGUGUCCAUGAGCAGCCCUGAAAGAGACAGGACACCAUUUCUGAUCAGUCUUACAGGGAAUGGUCUUAUCAGAGUUCUUCA
ensembl:lncRNA